rnacentral:rRNA from 1 species
AUGGACGACUAGUCUGGACGGACCAACGCCAGCCGUGAGUGAUGAAGCGUGUCUGCGUCUGUGACGCUCUGUUGUUAGGGACUGAACAAUGUUCCGUUCGAAUAGGCUGGUCCCUCGACGGUGCCUGCCUGGGGCCACGGCUACUACGUGCCAGCAGCCGCGGUAAUACGUAGGUGGCAAGCGUUGUCCGGAAUUAUUGCUUGUAGUGCGCGCGCAGGUGGCUCCUUCAGUCUGAUGUGACAGCCCACGGCUCAGCCGUGGAGGGUCAUUGGAAACUGGGGACUUGAGUGCCUAAGAGCUGAGUGGAAU